UGAAUACAUUCCUCAUGUUUAAAACCUUUUCAAAUUAUCUUAUUAUUUUAAUUUCCACCUUUUAGGUUGGUUGGUAAUCUUUAAUAUUUAUAAUUCAUCCUUAUUUCCCCAGAGUCAAUGUGGCCCAUUAUCAAUCAAAGUCUGUGCUGGAGGGCGAUUAGUUUACAGGGUUAGGAGGAAAGGAAAGUGAAGAGGAAGAUUCUAGGGCCCGAUUCUCAACCUUCCUCUCCUUCCUCCAGAACUGACUUCUCUUGGACUCCUUCUGUUUCACAUGUUUUUCUCUUUUAGGGCCUCAUUCUCUUCCUAAGGACCUGGACUAUGCCUUCUUCAAUAACAGUCAUCUUAACUACAUCCUGCUUCCCAAGUCGUCCUCCCUGGGGAUGUCUGGGACACUCCGGCCUCACAGAAUAUGUGAAUUGAUUCUUGCAUGAUACGAGAGACAUGGGUUUUCUCAAUCGGCAGUUCCCAUAUAUAUUGUUAUUGAACAAGAGAACUGGAGACACAAAAAUGAAACAGGAUAACAGACAACAAUGUUCAGAAAAUAUCUGUAAAGGAAACAAUCAGCCAUUGCCAAUCUUUUUGGGAAAUAGGAAGAAAUCCAAUAAAUGAAAUGUAGAUUAAUGAACUUCAUACAGAGUCUUGCCAAAUUGCCUAGGAUGACUUCAAACUCACAAUUCUCGUGCCUCAACCUCCUAAGUAGCUGGAAUUGCAGGCAUGUGCCAAAAUACCCAAUUUCUCCUGAAUGUUUGAAUUCAAGUGUUUAUGGCAUGUUUUCUCUUUUCUUACAGCAAAGACUUUCUUUUGUUUGGGAAAAUUUAUCAUGAGACCACACUCCUUUCAGGAGUAUUGAACUUUUAAAAGAGC
rnacentral:lncRNA from 1 species